rnacentral:rRNA from 1 species
GCAGCAGUGGGGAAUUUUGGACAAUGGGCGCAAGCCUGAUCCAGCUAUUCCGCGUGUGGGAUGAAGGCCCUCGGGUUGUAAACCACUUUUGUAGAGAACGAAAAGACACCUUCGAAUAAAGGGUGUUGCUGACGGUACUCUAAGAAUAAGCACCGGCUAACUACGUGCCAGCAGCCGCGGUAAUACGUAGGGUGCGAGCGUUAAUCGGAAUUACUGGGCGUAAAGGGUGCGCAGGCGGUUGAGUAAGACAGAUGUGAAAUCCCCGAGCUUAACUCGGGAAUGGCAUAUGUGACUGCUCGACUAGAGUGUGUCAGAGGGAGGUGGAAUUCCACGUGUAGCAGUGAAAUGCGUAGAUAUGUGGAAGAACACCGAUGGCGAAGGCAGCCUCCUGGGACAUAACUGACGCUCAGGCACGAAAGCGUGGGGAGCAAACAGGAUUA